CAAAGCAAAGCACCCAAUGGACACAGAAGUCACCAAAGCCAAGAUCAUUGGAUUUGGUUCUGCACUUCUUGAAGAAGUUGAUCCCAAUCCUGCGAAUUUCGUGGGAGCUGGAAUCAUCCACACGAAAACCACCCAGAUCGGAUGCCUGCUGCGCCUGGAGCCGAACCUGCAAGCCCAGGUCAGGCCCUCAGGAAAUGGCUGAACACACUUGAGUUGCUUGUUAUUCUGGCACAAUGUACAUGGUGAGAUGUGUAGCUCUUUAGUGCAGCUCAGUCAGUUUUGACAGAUGUUGUGUGCCCGUUUGACCACUACCCCAUCAAUACGUGGUUGCAUCCCAGCCUCCCCACAGCUGGCCACCAUGGAGCAUUGUCCCACCAUGGAGCAGCCUGGCCCUGGGCGGUGGCUCUCCCAGCUGCUCCUCUGUCACCGCGUUGUUCCUUCUCACCACGUCCCAUUCUGUCGACGGACACCUGUCUCCGUUUCACUCAGGC
rnacentral:sRNA from 1 species